rnacentral:rRNA from 1 species
UACGUAGGGUGCGAGCGUUUAAUCGGAAUUACUGGGCGUAAAGCGCGCGCAGGUGGUCUUUCAAGUCAGUGGUGAAAGCCCGGAGCUCAACUCCGGAAAUGCCAUUGAAACUGUAAGACUUGAGGAUGAGAGAGGUGAGUGGAAUUCCCAGUGUAGAGGUGAAAUUCGUAGAUAUUGGGAAGAACACCGGUGGCGAAGGCGGCUCACUGGCUCAUAUCUGACGUCAGGCGCGACAGCGUGGGGAUCAAACAGG